rnacentral:lncRNA from 1 species
UCUGGUGCAAUCUCUUCUCCCCUUGGAAGCUCUUCAUCAUCUCUGAAGGUAUGAAUAUUGUUACGAAUCAAAGCCGAGUAGAGGUGAUCGGUAAAGCUUUUGCGAGUAUCUUCACCUCUGAAACUCAAAAACACAUCGUAGCUCCACUGAGAGCGAGAAGUGAAAGAAGAAGAGGAUCUCUGGAUGCUAGGGGAGGCCAUGGUUGAACAGAAAUUGGAGGAAAAAUAAGGGCCUUCGGGUAUUCAGUGACUUAAUUCCCCUAGCCUUAAUGUGAAGUUUGGAUGUUGGUGGUGGGAUGUGCUUUUUCUUUCUCAAUUAUUUCUCCUUAGCUGUAUCCCUCUAGCUUUGAACUUUCACUUUUGUCCCUUUUGGCAGUCAACAAUGGCCGGCACUCUUCUCUCUGCAAUUUCCAAUUAAUUUCUAAAAUGUAAAAAAUAAAAAAUGAUCAAAUCCAUGUGGUCUUUACUUAGGUCAUAAGAUCGUGUGAACACACAUUAAAUUAAAGUUAUUCAAUUAAGUUUUGUCUUUUCCAUAAUUAGCAAUAUUACGGUAGAAAAUAAAGGUUUAUUAAGUUGAUAUGUCAAGUAAAGCUAACAACUUUGGUAUUAUAAGCUUGAUUUUUGUAGAUGGAAAAAUAUAAUGAGUCAUAUGACAAAAAAUAAAGAAAAUUUUGAUCUUGAAGAAUAGAAAGAAGCACAAAACCUUCAUGAAAGUUUAGGGAAGAAAGACCAUGCUCAAAACUCCAAAUUUAAAUUCUCACGGACUUUUCACAUUUUGCAGCUGGCUUUAUUAUUAAUAGAAGCACAUAAAUAAAUAUUGUAAUUAAAUCCCACUAAUUUAUAGGUCAUAAUGGUAUAUAUCGGUCAUCACAGUAAUUGAGUGGGAAGGUGGGUACCUGUAAAAAGAAUAGACCAAACCAAUCACCCUAAAGUACCUUUAUCAUAAAAGUCAUUGAGGUCCUAAUGGUAAUAAUGGUGGAUAUCUUUGGAAAGAGAAAACAAUCCUAAAUUUCAAAAGAACGUCUGUUUCUUGGCAAUUGUAUCCCCGACAGCCUUAUCUUUUUUUACUUUAUAUCUUUUUAUUAUUAUUAUCGUGAGGAUGGUUAAAGAUGAUAUUAGAUAUGUAAUCUUUCUAUGGUUUAAAAAUGAAAAAUGUGAGUGUUAAGUUGGCAUUUUUACCAUUUAGAAAAUACUUGAUUUUAAGAUCAUUAAUAGGAAGAAAUAAAGAGUUCCAAAAAAUAAAGAAGCUUUUAUUGACUAAUCUAGGCAACCCCUUUCUUGGCUUUUAAUUGUAUCUACUUUGUCGAAAAUCUCAGUCAUUCCUCCUUGUCUUCCUUUUGUUAUUCCUAAGUUCCAACUCUUUUUUUUUUUUUUUAAAUAAUAAUAUUAGUUUUAUGUUUUAAUGAAAUGGGUUGCAAAUUUGAAGAAAACAUAUUCUUGUGUAUUUAUUGACUAUGACCCUUUCUUCACAAAGGUUAACGUUAUUUACAUUCUCAAACUAAUCUUUGAUGAGUUUGAGUUUUUCUUUACUAACAAAACUUCUACCAUAUCUUUCUUGUAGGAACAAAGUCAAAUGACCAUAUUUUGAGACUUAUAUGAAUGGUCUCAACCAUCCAAUCCAAAUACCUACUCAACCCACAACUUCACUCCCACCAAACAACCUUUCGACUAUUAACAUUAUACUAAGAUUUCUUACCUUUGCUAUUCAAAUUAUCGUAAUAAUGUACAUCUUCUAUUUUAUAUUUUUAAUACAUUCCAUUUAAAUUUAACUUCUUACAUCCUUUAACACCUUAUUGUGCAUUUGUGGUUAUUUUUCUAAGCUGUUUUUUAACUUUCAUUGGUGGUUCAUUGUAAUUAUGUUGGUUACUGGGUUUUUUUAUUCUAUUUUAUGCAAGAGACAUUUUGAAAGGAUUAGGUGCCUUCCAAUCUUGAUUUUAGUGAUUUUUAAAUCUUAGUUUAGGACUUUGUUUUUGAUUGAUUUAUAACAUAUUUAGGUUUGUUUAGAAUUUUAAAACUUUAAUUGCAUAAAAUAGAUUCAAGAUUUGAAUUAAUUAAUAAUUGAUUUCAUUCUCCUUUAAAAUGUAGAAUAUGAUAAACGACUUGAUAGCAAAUUCAAACAAAUCUUUAUCCAAAUGAGAAUUUAUGUAAUCUAAUCAUUUUAUUAAAUAUCACCUAGUAAAUUAUAAAAAUAAAGAUAUUAAUCACAUUUGUUAAUAUGUUUUUUUUAAAUUGACAAAUUAUGAUGAAAUUAUAAUCUUUUCAAUAUUUUAUUAAUUAUUAAUUAAAACAUCACUAUAAUUAUUCAAUCCAUGGAAUAUAAAAUGAGUUAUUUUUAGUAAUAAUAAUAAUAAUGAUAAUAAUGAUAAUAGUGAUAAUAAUAAUAAUAAUAACUAAUCAUAUUUGAAUAACAUUUCAUCAAUUAUAUAUCAAAAUAAAGUUGUAUGUUUAUCAUAACCUAUGUUUUAAAACAAAAUAAUAAAAGUUAUAUUUCCCUUUAAAUGUAUUUACAUAUCUACCUCCAUAGUCCAUGGUAUUAAAAUAAUCUAAUAAAACACAGUAUCCCAUAACCGGGCAACAGCACAGCUGCUCCUAGCUUUAGCCCCUAGCAGCUGCAAUCAGCUUUUCCACUCUCUGUUACAGUCCAGCUUUGGCCGCCCAAGACGUACAUCUUUAAAAGUUGAUUUUAUUUUUUUUAAUUGAAUGUUUUUUUUUUUUUGUAACUCUUCUCGAUUAAUAAAUAAUAAUAAUAAUAAUAAUAAUAAUAAUAAUAAUUGGAUUUGGUUUUUAAAGUUGAGUAUUUUCUUUAACUAAUUGAUAUUAUAAAUAUAUAAAUAAUUUCUACAUUCACAUUUUAUAAAAAAUAAAAAUGUUUCAUUUUGAAAAUUUUAUGCAUUAUUUUAAAAUUUUCAAAUAAAGGAUUAUUUGUAAAUAUUUCUAAAUAUGUUUGAUUUCAAUAAUUGAUAAAUUAUAUAAUCAAAAUAUUAUGAAUUGGUAAAUAUCAAUUAUUGGAUUUUAUGAAGAUAAAAUUUAUGAUAUCAAAUAGUAAUGCAUUAUAUUUAUAAAUAGAUGUAUUUUUUCUAUUUUAAAUGUAAUUAACAAUAUAAAAAAUUAAUUAAUAAUGAUAUAUUUAUGAUAAUUUUUGUUUAAAAACAUUUAUAAUUUUAUUUAAAAUUAAAUUUCAUUUUAUAUUUAAUAAUUAUAUAAAAGAUAAAAAAAAUUUAAAAGUAAAUCAAACUAAUUUAUUUAUAAAAAAUUAUUAAUUUUCACUAUUUUACUUAUUUUACAUAUAUAUGUAUUGGGACUGAAAUCUGUUCUCCAUUCUCUCAUUCUUUCCUCCAUUUCUCUUUCGUUCCUAUUCUCUGUUUCCUUUCUCCUUGUCUUCAUUUCUCUUCUAACAUCCAAACUUUUAUUCAUGACGGUUAAACUAUUUCUCUUUUCUAAGAUCAAAACAUAACUCACUGAGGUUAAAAUCCAGAUUGUGAUUGUUAUAAAAAUUCCUAGUUAGGGUUUUAGUUUUAGUUUUAAUUUUUUUGUUCUUUUUUAUUUUUUGCAUUCUUGGUCUUUUGUGUUAUUGUUUAUGUUUUAUUUGGUUUAUGGGAAAUCCUAGAAUUUAUGAAAGUUUUGGCUUUGAAAUAUCCAAAAAAUAUUGAAAUAGAAAUGACCAAAAAAAAAAAAAAAAUUGUUGAAUAAUGUUGAGUUUUUGGUUGAAUUUUUGUUUGACCGAUUUUUUUAUUUUCCAUUUUCUGAUUUGCCCUCGUAGAGUAAAGAAUUUUCCUUCAUAGUGAAGAGAUGAGAACACUCAAGAACAUUGAUUGAAAAUACGAAAAACAUCUUAUUUUUUUUCUUUUUAGAACAUUGGCAAAAACACGGAAAACAACAUUUUUUUGUUUUUUGAAAACCAGACUUUAGAAAACACGAAGAAUACAUGGGAACAAAAAACACUCUCUUAUCAAACACAUUUUGUGUGUUUUUGUUCUCAAAAACAAAAAACUGUUUUUGAAAACAUUCACCAAACAUGCCCUAUUUUUUGAGGUAAUUCUUUUUAUUCUUUUUCUUUGCGGGGGAGGGGGAGGAAAUUUUGGCGAGCUGUUAGAAAAGGGGAUCUUGUGGCAGUUGGAGUUUAGGUUGCCUCAUGUUCUCUCUCCCUCUCUUUUUAUAUUUUAGUUUUUUUGCAAUAACUUGAACUCAUUUCCUUUGAGAAUUUCAUGUUCAUUUUCCCACACUUUGUUUUUGUUCCUAAAUUUAAUCUUGUGUUUAUGUCUAUCAAUUAGUUAUUUAGGUUGAGGAAAGGGGGCCGGGCCUUAGGUCUUCCCUUUUACCCUUGAAAUGAUCCUCUCACUUUGGGUGAUUAUUGAUUUAACUAGCUUAUAAUUUGGCCGUCUUUAUUUUUUAUUGAAAUCAUCAUACCUUGAUGUUUGGAAAUUGAAGAUUCAGGGCCCUUUUGAUGGACUGUCUAGUGGAGUGUGUGGGCAUAGGAAUGAAUUAACGGAGACGUGAAAGCUUUGAUCAGUCCAUGAAAUACAAAUGAAAGGUUAUCACCAAAAAUUAAGCAUGCGUGCAUUGAUAAUAGACAAGUAAAUGAGAGAAAAUGAACUUCAAAUCUUACUUGACAACGAUACUACUAUAAUGGGAUAUUCCUCAACAUAGUGGUUAUUACUUAAUUUGGUAUCAAUAACUAUGCUAAAACCUUGCCCAUUACUGAAAAUGGACAGGGAAUAAGCAAAAAUAUUAUAAUAUGUCUGUAAUUGAUUCCUUUCAUCAUAGUAACCCAUUGGCCAGAUUGGCUUAGUUAACUAAAUGAAAACCCGAUUUCUUAUAUUUCGAAUGAACCAAAAAGGAUACAGUAGUAAACAGCUAUGGAACCAAUAUGUAUGAGGAUAAAAAACAACAACAAUUUUGAUUGAAACUAAUCUUGAAAUAAUCAAUGGCUAAGUACAUCAGGUUGUGUUUAUAAAGUCCUAGUUCAUAAGCACUAAAUUCUAAUGCUAACACUCUCUCCAAGUGCUUUCAGUCUGCUGCUUCAAUACAAGUACUCUAUAUGUGCGCUUGAUAGUAACUUGCGCUUGAUAAUAACUUCUCGUGUCCUAUAUAUUUAUACCCGAUCAAGGGCUGCCAUUUUAUUAGAUUGUUGAGUAAUGACGCUGCUUGUUGAAGGAUUGUGAGACAGAACAAUCUCAUACCCAUCAUCACAUGACUGCAUCCCCUCGGCCAUGAGUUGCCAAACCAAGCCUCCACCAAUUCCUCCACUUCUUGCAAAGUUGUAGAUGUUGGUAUAAACAACAUUCAAAAAUGAAUCCCUUUUAUUUAUAAUUUUAAUUCUAUUGUACGAAGGAAUUAAGAAAAAACUUUUAUUCUAAAAAAAUAUAAAUUUUAACCUAAAAUAAUUUAGUAUAUACUUUAUCAAGUGUAAAAUUUUAAUGAACAGAUUUUUAUUUUAUAAAAAAUAAAAAUAAAUAAAAAAAUUAUAAAAGUUUAAAACUCACUUAGCUUUAAGUGGCUAGUCAAAUAUCUCAUGCUAAACAAAUUAAAUAAUUUUUAUAUGAGCAGAUAGAGAAAAGGACAGUACUUCAAAUGAAAAAUGAAGAGAAGUUACAAUUACUUGUUCUUCGUGUUAAGGAUAAUUAGCCUUUCCAUUACAAUUUACCAUAUGUAUCAUAUUUGACCCUUGAUUACAUGCUAUUCCUUUGUAAUCAGUUUGAUAUUAUUUCCUACUUUCCAUUUCUUUUAUAAUCAGUUUGAUAUUAUUUGAUUUGUAAUAUUCUAUAAAUGAUUAUAAAUAGAAAACUCUCACCACCUUCUCAAGUGUGGUGGUUUGACAAAUAUUCUUACUUUGUAUCAUAUCCGGCUAGAUUGCCUGCUUCCCUCAUGGCAGUCCUCCAUUUCCUUAUCUUUUCCUUUCUCUCCUCAUCUGCAUUUUCCUCAUGAUCGGUAAAUGCUUCUCCACAAAUCCCAGUUUGGUUCCGCACUUCAGACGGAUCCACAUGAUAGAAAAUUGGGAUAACCGUUUGUUUCCUUUCCUCUUUGCAUUGCAUGAUCUUGACAAGCUCUUCCAGACACCAUUUGGAAUGAGCAUAGGUUUUUGAGAAAACAAUAAUUGCAAUCCUUGAUUCUUCAAUAGCUUUUUAAGAGCUCUGGUGCAAUCUCUCCUCCCCUUGGGUGUUCUUCAUCAUCUCUGAAGGUAUUAAUAUUGUUACGAAUCAAAGCCGAGUAGAGGUGAUCAGUAAAGCUUCUGCGAGUAUCUUCACCUCUAAAACUCAAAAACACAUCGUAGCUCCACUGAGAGUGAGAAGUGGAAGAAGAAGAGGGUCUCUGGAUGCUAAGGGAGGCCAUGGUUGAACAGAA